rnacentral:rRNA from 1 species
GACGAACGCUGGCGGCGUGCCUAAUACAUGCAAGUCGAACGAGAGCAACCGGUGCUUGCCCUGGUCAAUCUAGUGGCGAACGGGUGAGUAACACGUGGGUAACCUGCCCAUCAGAGGGGGAUAACAUCCGGAAACGGAUGCUAAAACCGCAUAGGUCUUCGAACCGCAUGGUUUGAAGAGGAAAAGAGGCGCACGCUUCUGCUGAUGGAUGGACCCGCGUUGCAUUAGCUAGUUGGUGAGGUAACGGCUCACCAAGGCCGUGAUGCAUAGCCGACCUGAGAGGGUGAUCGGCCACAUUGGGACUGAGACACGGCCCAGACUCCUACGGGAGGCAGCAGUAGGGAAUCUUCCGCAAUGGACGCAAGUCUGACGGAGCAACGCCGCGUGAGUGAAGAAGGUUUUCGGAUCGUAAAACUCUGUUGUUAGAGAAGAACAAGUGCUAGAGUAACUGUUAGCGCCUUGACGGUAUCUAACCAGAAAGCCACGGCUAACUACGUG